AGUCCAGCAGAGGUGGAGAAGAGUAAAUGACCCUGAACACUGUUGGAAAUAAAGCAAGGAUUACCGGGAGUAACAGGCACCACUUUACACUCCGAAUUUCUUUCGGGAAAAGAGAAGGAUUUCUUAUGAGAUUGUAGUCAAAUAUCAACGGAGGCUGCAAUCAUCCAGAGGCUUGACUGGGCCUGGAGAAUCUGUUUUCAAGGAAGUUCAAAUUCUUCACUGCCUCCUAUCUCCCCACAAGAAGCUUCUGUCAUAAGAAGACCAGGAUCAGCACAAACGCUGCUCUCCCUGUGAUGGAGCAGGGAAAGCAGUCUUCAUAUCUGAUCCUAGUGUUUUCACCAUCAACCACUGGAAAGAACUGCACGGCUAUCACUGUUCCUUCUCUGACUCUCUUUUUUCUCUGAACUGCUACUGAAAAUACAGGCCCAACCCUGGUCUCCUUCUGGAAAUUAUU